UCGUCGCCCUCCUCUCUCUCGCUAACCCCUCUCUCUCCCAUCGCCCCUACCCACGCCGGCCGGUUUCGGCAAGCUCCGGCCGCCGCACGCCCCCGAGCAUCUUCACGUGCCCCUCCUUUCCCUGCCGCGGACGCGUGUCCUCUGCUCUGCCCCGCCCGCCCGCUCCACCUCCCCGCAGACGCACGCCGAGUCCUAGCGUGCCAAGUUCGCCGGCCCCCGCGCGCGCACCUGCACCGUCUCCGCUUCGUCCGGCCCGCGCCACGAUGUAUCCGCCGCAUCGCCUCCUCCUGCGCCACGCCGGCUCCGCCACCCCCUGCAGUGGCUGCGCGCCCACGGGCCGCCCGCAGUGCCAGCACAAGUCGCCCCAAUAGGAGAGCAGGUCUGGUGUGGUUUCAUGGUGGGUGUUGAGGAGCAGGGGGACUGGGGAGGGAGUCGGCCAUCACUGCCUACCACUGCUUACGAGUCGUCUGCCCCAUCCCCAACCUAGACUGCACAUCUACGGCUUCGGCAUCUCUCUCCCCUAUUUUUUGCCCCUUGAUUUCCCUGGUUCGUUGAGAAUGUGAUUUUAACUUUUUGAUUUAUGUGUGCAGAUUGAAUGAAGAAUACAAGAGGAAGACUAAGAACAAGUUUAUUUGGUUGACAGUUUAUAACCUCAGCAAGGAGCACAUGUCAUUGUCGCCAUCACUGAGCCCAAGAUGGUGCCUUGCAAUGAUCAUUGCACUUCUCUUCCAUACAUCAGUGCCACUUCCAAAGCGGAGUCCCUCCUAGAGGAUAGUCUCUAUUAUCAGAAGGGUGAAGCAGCACAGAAGACAAAGAAGGCAUAUUGUGCGAGAGCGGCGAUGGCAUGGACGAGCUUGCCUGCUCCCGGUUCGGGCACCGCACGACGCGAGAAGCUCGGAGCUAUGGUGAUGGCGGCGGCGGGAGGCGGGAGGCGACGGAUUCGAGUUCCUAGCAGAUCCGGUUCACAGGUUUCCCUUGACGGAUCUCGCCGCCGACGGCUCUUUACUGCGCAGUGAAGCCAAGCAAGCUGUGGUACACAGGCCCGCCGAAUCCAGCAUUGGUGAUGUGGGCGAUGCGGCGCCGACACCUGACAGUACAACUAUAUUUGAACAUCGCUUGCAAUGGGAUGGCCCUGUUGGCGCCGAACUCAGAGCAAUCGAUGGGCAAGGACGAUCCUCAGCCGCCUGGCUGGACCAAGAGGGUGCGUGUUGGGCAUGCACCUGAUGAACGUCCCCCAUGUGCUGGCAGAAUGAGUGCCUUGAAAAAACAUUGAGAAGAUAUGUAGUUCCUGCGGUAGGAAGCCACUUUAAUUCACUUGGAGAAGCAUAUGUCUAUUACAAUCUGUAUUCUAGGGAUACUAUGUGGCUGCUCCUGCUCGGGAAGCAGGUGAGAAGUAUGAAGAGAGACGUACAAAGAUACUAGCCCCCGUAAUGAAAAUAAACACGCCACUGGAGUUGCACGCUAGCGAUAUGUACACACGAGCCAUGUUUGAAAAGUUUGGCGAAAUUAUGUUUAUGAAGCAGGGCAGUACAAAGUAGAGGAGGUCAGUAAAGGGAAAAAUUUAUUUCGUGCGACGAUACCAUCCAGAGAAACAUGAAAAGUGGUGCGGGGUGUGUACAAAGUGGAAGUUGUUGCGGAAGGGAGGGAACUGAUAUGUGAGUGUGCUAAUUUCGAGAACACAUGCUUGCUCUGCUGCCAUGCAGUUAAGGUAACAAAGAUUUCAUUCUGAUGAUAACACAUUC